UACAAUUGUUUGCACUUUUAUUUUGACAUUUAAAAUCCUACAAACUCUAUAGAUUUGGACAAAGAAAUCCAUACAUUUGGUUCUGUAGGUUUGGGUUUGGAGGUAUUCUUGAGAGGGAAAAGAGCUGCGCGUAUCCAUGCCAACACGGAUCGCUCACAUACGUUCUCCAUUACUUACAAUCAGACUCCGACUGAGUUCCACCAGAGUUACAUAAAUGUUGUACAGCUUGUUCAGAAUUAGAAAUAACGGAGUACAUUACAGAUGCUUCUCUGCAGGGAUCGCUCUGACAGAGCGUCUCUGGAUCGACUCCACUGACUCUUCCCAAACUCCGGAUCUGGAUUCUCAAUCAGACGAGGUUUCAAUGAACGUGAUGCCAAAGAAAAUGAACUUUUCCCUCAGAGAGAGUUAGAAAACUCAACAGAAACCAGAGCGAACAUCUCCAGGGCGUUUCUAAAUGAUCUCACUGGGUUUGAGGAGUUUCCUUCUGAAUUGGGAGCAAACCUGAAACAGCAUUUAUCAAAGUCACAAACCGCCUCCCAGCUGCACCUGACGGCGUGCUCGUCUCCACGCCGGACCUCGCCGCUGCGUCUCACGGGUUCCCACAGCUGGAGCCCUUCAUCACAUGAACGGUUUCCGUUCUGAUUUCAGUCACUUUGUCCUGACAGGUUUCACUUUGGGAGCAUCGUCGUGUUCGGAGCAUCAGGUGUUCCACAAAGAUCCGGGAUAAUUGUCUCCACAUGUGCUCCUGUUUGGACCUCAUCAGUCUUUGUGACGUUAACGUCUUCUGAUUAAUUGAUGACACUCAACUGAAUCCACCGAUUAAGGGUGGAAGUGUGUGGACGCGUGGAUGAUGGUUGUGUGUUGCUCCGUUCUCAGAGCGCUUCCAGCUGAUGUCUCCAGUGAGAACGUGCGUCUUUCCUUCCCCUCUUGUCCAUCUGCAGUUGUUCUUCUCUCAUCAACGCUCAGCUGGAAUCUCAAAGAAUCAAAUGUUUCUGUGUAAAACAUCUCCGUCUGACAGCAACUUUAGAAACCAACUGGAUUCCUUUAAAGUGCAGCAGCUCGGACUUUUCCCGCUUUGGGAAGAUAAAUGUCAGAAUCCGUCCGACUCCGGAUUAUUCCUCAGAUCCGCUUGUUUCCCUAAACCCACGAUAAAUCCACGGUUACUGGCCUCCAGAACGCACCUUAACCCUUUAAUGUCAGACAGAGAUUCUGUAAAA